AAAUUCUUAACCCUAAAUCCCUAAAUUGAAAAUUCAAAGACUCAGUCUCCUUCUUCGUCUUCUAUCUCUGUGCACCUCUCACCUUCAGUUGGCACAUCAGCUCCGGCCUCCCUCUCUAUUUUUGUCGAAGACUGAAUGGCUUCUUCACGUUGAGGAAUCUUCAUCUGCUGAACCAUUGUACCAGUUUGUUCUCCUUUUACAAUUUGUAGUACCACCUGCUUAAGGUUGAUUAAAGAAUAAUGUCUGGUCAAAUCGGUUCUAAUUCGGAGGAUGAUGUUGAUUUUGUGCCAUCAACUAAUGUUGAAGAAAUACAAUCUGUUAGUAAUACAUUAGAUGAACAUCAGAAUACAGGGAGAAAAAGAACUUCUCGUGCAUGGGAUCAUUUUACUCGACAAGAAAUUGAUGGUAAAAUUAAAGCGGUU